UACCCAUUAAAUAAAGAUGUCCGAAACUCAGGGUCAAACCCUAGAAGAUCAAACACUCCCUUCCUCGUACCCCUGUCCCUCUCCGCUUCCACCACUGUUCUUCGCCGAAACCCUCGCCGGCGGGAAUCGUAAUUUACGCUGUUGGCCACCAGAAAAACACCAUAGAUGCACAUUCUUCUCCUCUGUCCAAGACCCAUAGUCACUCCCCUCGAAUCUUACCCCAAUCCCUCGAAUAUCACAUCUAAGAUUUUUCGGCCGUGACAUAAGUUAGGCCAAACAGUCCCAAAUUUAUACCAUAGAAUCGCCUUGGCCUUUUCUACACGACUCCUAGACCUUUGGUCUCGAAUAUGGCCGGAAUGACUUGAACAUAGGUUUGAAUAUUUUCCAGCGAAUCUGGAUUUCAUCAAAUUUUCACAAAUUGGUGCCAUGGGGUUAUCCUCAUCUUUCUCUCAAGGAUUUCAGUGUCAUAAAAGAUCAAUUGACUGCCGAGGUUAGACGGUCAUGUGGCCAAUGAAGUCGUGAGUCCUUUCCCUCUAUUUUUUUAUAUGAGUUUUUUUGUCAAUUAAGAACUUGAAUGAAUCCCUUUUAAUUUUCAAUUAGUUAUCGUUUAUUUCAGCAUUAACUUGCAUGUUUCUUUAGAUUAGUUUGAUUUUUAUUGAUUGUUGUUUUUUCUGUUUGUUAGUCUAAUUAGUUCAAUAACUUAAUGAUGAGUUUGAUCGAAAUUAGUUCAAGUCCUGAUGUUGUUUAAGAAACAGGGUUAAGACUUUUGUGUGAUAAUAAUGGUGUUAGGGUAAGUUUUUAGUUUAGUCAAUUCUAAUUAGUAAUGAAAGGUGUGGGUUAGUUAGAGUUGUCAAAUUCAGAUUGAAGGUAGGAAAUUUUAGGCAUUCGUGAAUUAGAUAUCAAUACUAGAAUUCCUUGGAACCUUCUAGAGAGGGGUGCAAGAAUAUUGAGGAAGUUUGAAGUACCUUCUUCCAUAACAAGUUAAAUUAAGGGGUAAAAAGUAAAUCGAGUGAGGGACUAAAGACAGAUUUGGAAACUUGUUUGUUUCCUAUAAAAGAGGUCAUAUUUGCUUUGCUCAGGGGUUCUCUCAUUCAGCCAAUAUUAGUCCCAAAAACACUAUUUACACUCUAAUUUUUAGAUCUGGCUUUUUCAGAUUUCUAGCCAUUUUUUAUUUCCAAAACCAAACUUUCUCUAGGAUCAGCUUAUUGUCAGAUCUGAAGUAAGAAACUAAAAUUCAAAAACUAAAAAAAAAACUCAUAAAAAUCCAAAAAUAUUGUAUUGUUUCAUUGCCUUUUUUAAAUCGUGUUGAAGUUCCUGCUGAAUUCUUCAGUUUCUCAUAUAGUUUCGAGUCUAUUAAACAUCACUUAGAGGUUUUGGUAACUGGUUUGUAGGUAUUUUGGUCUAUUUGAGUUGUUUUACACCUAAGUUCAGUUUUGAAGACAUUUGGGUACAUUGCGAGUCAUUGUGUUGUUAUUUGGGUUAUUUGUUGAGGAGUGUGUGAAGUUUGGGUUUCAAUUUCAAGAUUAGUUGGUUAUACACAUGUCUGUGGUUGACUCUUAUGAUUUUAUUGGAUUUCAAAUCUAUUAUGAACAUCAAAACCAAGUUGUUGGGCUGUUUGAUUGAAUUUACUAGCUGUUGUUGCCGAUUCCUUGCUUCUAUUCUUUCCUUGUAUUCCAGGUACACAUUUGUACUCUCCAUGGAUUGUGAAAUGAAAUGAAGCAUGAUACGAGCCUCUGUUGCUGCCUAAUUAUUAAUAGCUACAGUUUUUAGUUUCAGUCAGUUGAUUGUUGCCUAAUUGUCAUUGUCUCUUGUUUUGAGUUGUAGUGGACAAGGACUUGCUUAAUUAGAAUUAUUUUCAGCUAAUGUAAACUUCCUGAAAAUUGACUUUAUGCAUAAGUUGUUCAUGUGGUUGAUAAUUGAGUGCUAGUGCAUUUAGAUCCAUGUAUGCAAUCGAAACAGCAGGCUAUUAGAUGGAUAUUUAUCAUUCAGUCAUGUUAUUGUAUAAUCUCCAUUGGCAUAGUUUAUUUUCAAAAAAAUAGUACUGAACUGGGAAUAGGGAAGUGGAUUUGGGAGGACUAGAAAUGUGUAAUGAUAGUUAGAGUUUGAACUGUUAGUUGGAAAUUUAGUUGCUCAUGUAUGUCAUUGCUUUUGUUCCCUUAGAUAUCCAUUUCAAUGGUUCAAUAUUAUUGGUGUUAACUUGAAUCAGUCUCAAUUUGCCUUAGGCUUCCAUGCACACCUAAGAUUAAACUUAGUAAAAAUUGAACACCUCGAGUAGAAUAAAAAAUUCAAUCGAUCAAUACAUUUGUCAAUUAAUGUAAUAAAUGCCGUUUGCUUUAUAGAAUUUGAAUGACUUGAACAAUUCCAGCCUGUUUAAGACUGAACGGGAUUAUGCUAGACCCAGGUCUGACAUUGAAAUUCUAUUUCGUUUGGACCUGGGCAUGUUCUCAUCAUAUCUUGUUAUCACAUUGUGUUGAUUUUUCAUUACCCUUGGGCUUAUUCUUGAGCCUAAAGGCUUGUUUAGCUUAAAGUUGUUGUUUAGGCCAAUGGCAGAUUUGCCUCAGUCCAAUAAUAAUUUAUUUUGGAAUCAACUUGUUUUUCG
rnacentral:lncRNA from 1 species